AACAGCUGCACAGACCCUGCUCACAGAGACACAGACUUUUUAUAACAUGUAUAAAACGUAGAGUGGAUUUAAUCCUUAAAAGACACUUUCUGUCCAUCGUCGUGGAGCCGGAACUUGGUUUAUGGAAAAAAUUACAGCCCAGUGGUCCGAAGCUGACGAUGCCGUGAACCUCCCACGUGGGGUUGGCUCCAGCGGCCGUGCAGACCAAAGGACCCCCAGAGUCGCCCUGCAGGAAAACAGCAAAGAUUUAGUGCACAGCAUGAAACAGUGAGCAGCUGUCAGGACCCACUCCUCGUGGAUCAGAGAGCCUCCACAGCCGUGCAUGCACCCAGAGGUAAAGGAGUCAACAGUACCUGCAUGGACACUUGCCAGGGCCAGGAGUGUGGGACUGCCUCUACCCCAUUGACCACCCUGGUUGUCGCUGUGCUGGGUUUCACCGCUGGGUUUCCACAGUCUUUCGGCCAGCCUGGCAAGAGAAAAUGUAGAAUUCAGUUAUCAAUACAUAAUACAUAUUUAUUUGUGCAGUGCGAGAAGUUUAUGCACGAAAUACUGGAUGGAUUACCUGUAAUAUUGGUUUAAGGAUGUGGUAUGGGUAAGGGAAGAAUCCAUUACUUUUAUUCAAAUCACUUUCUUUAAUAAUGCAAGUUAUGGAGGCUUCUUUGAAAUUUUUUACCAUUUUUCACAGUGAAUAAUUCAUAGA